CCGUAGGUGAACCUGCGGAAGGAUCAUUAAACAAAAUAGCGGGUCCCUCUUUGAAUAAAAGAGGGAUGUCUGAACCCUUGAUUACAAACUUAGUUGCUUUGGUGGGCCGCCUUCGAGCGCUGGCCUCGGCCUGCUGCGCCCGCCGGAGGACAAAACUCUAUGUUUAGUGAAGUCUGAGUACUAUAUAAUAGUUAAAACUUUCAACAACGGAUCUCUUGGUUCUGGCAUCGAUGAAGAACGCAGCGAAAUGCGAUAAGUAAUGUGAAUUGCAGAAUUCAGUGAAUCAUCGAAUCUUUGAACGCACAUUGCGCCCCUUGGUAUUCCGAGGGGCAUGCCUGUUCGAGCGUCAUAUAAACACAUCCCUCACGGGGUCUUGGGAUCCGCCAACUGGCGGUCCUUAAAAUCAGUGGCGGUGCCGUCUGGCUCUAAGCGUAGUAAUCAUCCUCGCUACAGACCUCAGGCGGUUGCUUGCCAGCAACCCCAAAUUUUCAACGUUUGACCUCGGAUCAGGUAGGGAUACCCGCUGAACUUAAGCAUAUCAAUAA
rnacentral:rRNA from 1 species